CUUUACGGCCAUACCACCUUAGGCACGCCCGAUCUCGUCUGAUCUCGGAAGCUAAGCAGGGUCGGGCCUGGUUAGUACUUGGAUGGUUGACCGCCUGGGAAUACCAGGUGCUGUAAGCA
rnacentral:rRNA from 10 species